rnacentral:misc_RNA from 1 species
GAUGAAGAACGUAGCGAAAUGCGAUAAGUAAUGUGAAUUGCAGAAUUCAGUGAAUCAUCGAAUCUUUGAACGCACAUUGCGCCCGCCAGUAUUCUGGCGGGCAUGCCUGUUCGAGCGUCAUUUCAACCCUCAAGCCCCAGCGGUUUGGUGUUGGGGACCGGCGAGCACAGAGGCUUUGGGGACUUGUCCCCCUUCCCUCGGCGCCGCCCCCCGAAAUGAAUUGGCGGUCUCGUCGCGGCCUCCUCUGCGUAGUAGUGAAACACUCGCGGGCGGAGAGCGGUGCGGCCCGCCGUAAACCCCCCAACUCUUUCUAAGGUUGACCUCAGAUCAGGUAGGAAUACCCGCUGAACUUAAGCAUAUCAAUAAGCGGAGGA